rnacentral:lncRNA from 1 species
CAGAAACUUCAGCUAACUACCCUUACACCUCUCCACCACCACCGGCCUCUCCUCCCUACCAUUACAAGUCACCACCGCCUCCUUCUCCUUCUCCUCCAGUGCACUACUCACCACCUAAGCAUCCCUACCACCCUAAGUCACCACCACCUCCUGUGUACGCACCACCUAAGCAUCCCUACCACCCUAAGUCACCACCACCUCCUGUGUACCCACCACCUAAGCAUCCCUACCACCCCAAGUCACCACCACCAUCACCAAAGCCUUACCACUACAAAUCCCCACCACCACCUCCUGCUCCAGUGCACUCACCACCCCCACCUAAGGAGCCAUACCACUACAAGUCCCCACCACCACCACCCAAGAAGCCCUACCACUACAAAUCUCCCCCACCACCUCCUCCUCCAGUUCACUCACCACCACCACCCAAGGAGCCUUACCACUACAAAUCUCCACCACCACCACCCAAGAAACCUUACUAUUACAAGUCUCCUCCACCACCACCAAAGAAGCCUUACCACUACAUGUCUCCUCCCCCACCGGUGUACUCACCACCUCCACCAGUGCACUCACACCCACCACCAAAAAAGCCUUACCAUUACAAAUCUCCUCCCCCGCCAGAAUAUUCACCAGCUCCACCAGUGCACUCAACCCCACCACCAAAGAAGCCCUACCAUUACAAAUCCCCACCACCACCACCACCACACAAGAAGCCUUAUUACCCUGUUCACUCACCACCUCCACCUAAGAAGCCUUACCACUACAAAUCCCCACCACCACCUUCUCCUACUCCUCCUAAAUACUCACCACCUAAGCACCCCUACCACUACAAGUCUCCACCACCACCACCAAAGAAGCCUUACCAUUACAAGUCCCCACCACCUCCUUCUCCUACUCCCCCUAAAUACUCACCACCUAAGCACCCCUACCACUACAAGUCACCACCACCACCACCCCAAGAAGCCUUACCACUACAAGUCUCCACCACCACCACCUCCUCCAGUUCCCACACCAUCUCCACCCAAGAAACCUUACCACUACAAGUCUCCCCCACCACCCCCUCCAGUCUACAAGUCUCCUCCACCACCAGUUUACUCACCACCACCACCACCUAAGAAACCUUACAAGCCACCAACUCCUCCAGCAGUUCACCCACCACACGGUUACAUCUAUUCCUCACCCCCACCUCCUCACCACUACUAGAUAUUGAAAGUUUAAUUGCAUCAAGCUGGUAAGCUUCUCCAUUCUAUGCUAUUAUUCAUUAAUUAGUUAGUACUACUGUUGUCAAUUUGGAAAUCACCAUAC